AUUGAACGCUGGCGGCAUGCCUUACACAUGCAAGUCGAACGGCAGCACGGACUUCGGUCUGGUGGCGAGUGGCGAACGGGUGAGUAAUGUAUCAGAACGUACCUUUCAGUGGGGGAUAACGUAGCGAAAGUUACGCUAAUACCGCAUAUUCUGUGAGCAGGAAAGCAGGGGAUCGCAAGACCUUGCGCUGAUUGAGCGGCCGAUAUCAGAUUAGCAAGUUGGUGAGGUAAAGGCUCACCAAGGCGACGAUCUGUAGCGGGUCUGAGAGGAUGAGCCGCCACACUGGAACUGAGAAACGGGCCAGACUCCUACGGGAGGCAGCAGUGGGGAAUCUUGGACAAUGGGGGCAACCCUGAUCCAGCCAUGCCGCGUGAGUGAAGAAGGCCUUCGGGUUAUAAAGCUCUUUCGGCCGGGAAGAAAUCGCAUGGGUUAAUACCCUGUGUGGAUGACGGUACCGGAAUAAGAAGCACCGGCUAACUACGUGCCAGCAGCCGCAGUAACAC
rnacentral:rRNA from 1 species